UGGAGCGUUUAGUUCAACAACCGUAUUCAACACGACGCAGAAACAUGGAGACUCACACAGAGGUGGUGGCGUUGCGGGCGCAGGUGGCCAUCCACACCUCCUUGUAGAAGUGGUCGCUGAUGGGAUCGGACACGUCGAUGGACGAGUCGGUGUGAGCGCCGAGGAUCGUUCUGACGGGAGAGAGGAGGACGGAGAGGAAGCGUCAAACGCUGCAGGAAAUUGCGAGCGGAGACAUUUGGCAAAGCAUGAUGAAGAAAUGAUGAAGAAAUAUCACAGAAAUAAAGAAGGACAAUGAGCGGAAACUUUCUUCAAUCAUCAGUACUUCCAGAAAGUAAAGAGAGGAGCGACGAGUGAUAUUUAUACGUUGUUAGUCGUUUCAUUUAUUCAAACUAUGAUUUUACAUUAUAAAAAGAGAUUUGAAAUUAAAGCUUUGCUCUGUUGCAAGA